rnacentral:rRNA from 1 species
GAUGAACGCUGGCGGCGUGCUUAACACAUGCAAGUCGAACGGUGAAGCAGGAGCUUGCUCCUGUGGAUCAGUGGCGAACGGGUGAGUAACACGUGAGCAAUCUGCCCUGGACUCUGGGAUAAGCGUUGGAAACGACGUCUAAUACCGGAUACGAGGCGUGGGGCAUCCCCAACGCCUGGAAAGAACUUCGGUCCAGGAUGAGCUCGCGGCCUAUCAGGUAGUUGGUGAGGUAACGGCUCACCAAGCCUACGACGGGUAGCCGGCCUGAGAGGGUGACCGGCCACACUGGGACUGAGACACGGCCCAGACUCCUACGGGAGGCAGCAGUGGGGAAUAUUGCACAAUGGGCGCAAGCCUGAUGCAGCAACGCCGCGUGAGGGGCGACGGCCUUCGGGUUGUAAACCUCUUUUAGCAGGGAAGAAGCGAAAGUGACGGUACCUGCAGAAAAAGCAUCGGCUAACUACGUGCCAGCCGCCGCGGUAACAC